UACGUAGGGCGCAAGCGUUGUCCGGAAUCAUUGGGCGUAAAGAGCUCGUAGGCGGCCUGUUGCGUCCGCUGUGAAAUCCCGGGGGCUUAACCCCGGGCGUGCAGUGGAUACGGGCUGGCUGGAGGCAGGCAGGGGGAGAACGGAAUUCCCGGUGUAGCGGUGAAAUGCGCAGAUAUCGGGAGGAACACCGGUGGCGAAGGCGGUUCUCUGGGCCUGUACUGACGCUGAGGAGCGAAAGCGUGGGGAGCAAACAGG
rnacentral:rRNA from 1 species